AUUGAACGCUGGCGGCAGGCCUAACACAUGCAAGUCGAGCGGAUGAAGGGAGCUUGCUCCUGGAUUCAGCGGCGGACGGGCGAGUAAUGCCUAGGAAUCUGCCUGGUAGUGGGGGAUAACGUCCGGAAACGGGCGCUAAUACCGCAUACGUCCUGAGGGAGAAAGUGGGGGAUCUUCGGACCUCACGCUAUCAGAUGAGCCUAGGUCGGAUUAGCUAGUUGGUGGGGUAAAGGCCUACCAAGGCGACGAUCCGUAACUGGUCUGAGAGGAUGAUCAGUCACACUGGAACUGAGACACGGUCCAGACUCCUACGGGAGGCAGCAGUGGGGAAUAUUGGACAAUGGGCGAAAGCCUGAUCCAGCCAUGCCGCGUGUGUGAAGAAGGUCUUCGGAUUGUAAAGCACUUUAAGUUGGGAGGAAGGGCAGUAAGUUAAUACCUUGCUGUUCUGACGUUACCAACAGAAUAAGCACCGGCUAACUUCGUG
rnacentral:rRNA from 1 species